rnacentral:lncRNA from 1 species
GCAGGGGAGAAGAGCGGGAGCCUGGCGGAGCGGUGGCGGCUCGGGUGCCUCAGAGAAAAGAACCGGCCGGAGCCUUCCGGAAUCUUCACGAAGCUUCGUCGGGGGAAGGAAGGAAGCGGGGAGAGAGGGGAAGAGGGCGGCAGCGAAUACGCAGGCGCUAGAGGAGGGGGAAGAGGAGGAGGAGGAAGAAGAAGCUGAGGGGGAGGGAGAAAAUGGCGGCGCCGGCUACGCGCCGCGGGGUUGAGUGGUCGGGCUGCGGCGGGUGCCCGGUCUUUGGCGGUUCUUGUAAUUUUUUUUUUUUUUUUUGAGAUGUCCCCUCAAGAGGGACUGGGUGAUAGGGAAAGAUGUAAUUAGGAAGUUUGCUUGUUGCGUGACUGGAACACGUGAGCUUAAUUUACAAAGAAUAUUUACGCAUAUGUAUUAAAACCACCGGGCUUGUGUAGAAACAAGUAUGAUUACAUAUGAAGUUUCAAGUUCUUGGCUAAGAAAAAGAUUAUUUUUGUGUUUGAGUUUCUGGAAGUUCCCCGGAAUGCUCCGGUCAGCCGACUGAGUGACGUGUCCUCUGCUGCCCAGGCUCCUUUGAUGUGUAUAACAAUAGGCGCAUACAUAACAGUUGGUUCAUGUUUAACAAUUACAACAAGCUACGUUCCUGUGAGCAAAUACAAACUGGUUUCUUCAAACCUUCUGAAACAUUUCUGACAAUCCAACAAACUGGUGAAAGGAACCUCAGAAGACUGAAGACAGACAGCAUUGCUAAGUUAACCUGAAAAGGUCUGAAUUAAUCUCGUCUAAUCAUGGACAUCUGCAGUGCUGUCAUUUACUUUUGAGCUACCCACCUGAAGUUUAUGUUAUUGGUGAAGAGAAAUGGGGACUUCUAG